UGGGGAAUAUUGGACAAUGGAGGGAACUCUGAUCCAGCAAUUCUGUGUGUGUGAAGAAGGUUUUAGGACUGUAAAACACUUUUAGUAGGGAAGAAAAAAAUGACGGUACCUACAGAAGAAGCAACGGCUAAAUACGUGCCAGCAGCCGCGGUAAUACGUAUGUUGCGAGCGUUAUCCGGAAUUAUUGGGCUUAAAGGGCAUCUAGGCGGUAAGACAAGUUGAAGGUGAAAACCUGUGGCUCAACCAUAGGCUUGCCUACAAAACUGUUGAACUAGAGUGCUGGAAAGGUGGGUGGAACUACACGAGUAGAGGUGAAAUUCGUAGAUAUGUGUAGGAAUGCCGAUGAUGAAAAUAACUCACUGGACAGAAACUGACGCUGAAGUGCGAAAGCUAGGGGAGCAAACAGG
rnacentral:rRNA from 1 species